GACGACACUGUUUAAUCUGUCCUCUGAGGUCCAAAACUGAGGGACAAAUAAAGUAAAGUUACCAGACAAAUCAGCUUCACUCCUUCUAGUGAGGAGGAGUCAAUGCAAAACUCAGAUGUCUUCCACCUCUACUUAUCUGACUGCAGAGAGGAGGACAGAGGACAGUGGACACACAGUUUAACAUGAUGGACUAUAGGACAGGACUGCUGCUUUUAACCAUCUGCUGCUGGACAGGUGUUUCCAGUCAGACUCUGACUGAGUCUGAACCAGCGGUAAAGCGCCCAGGAGAUUCACACAAACUGACAUGUACUUAUGCAGGAAUAUCAGAUAGCGAUGCUGCUAUCGCCUGGAUCAGACAAGCUGAAGGAAAAGGACUGGAGUGGGUUGCCUAUAUUACUGCUCCGAGUGGAAGCACUAAAGCUUAUUCCACGUCAGUCCAGAAUCGGUUCACCAUCUCCAGAGACAACAACGUGGACCAGGUGUAUCUGCAGAUGAGCAGCCUGACGACUGAAGACUCUGCUGUUUAUUACUGUGCUCGAGAGCCACAGUGAUACAGGAAGCCACAGAGCCGUACACAAACCACCACAGAUGUCACUGCACCAGUCACUAUAAACAUACACCGAUCAGCCAUAACAUUAAGACCACCUGCCUAUUAUUCAGUAGGUCCCCCUUUUGCUGCCAAACCAGCCCUGACCUGUGGAGGCAUGGACUCCACUAGACCUCUGAAGGUCUGCUGUGGUAUCUGGCACCAAGCCGUCAGUAGCAGAUCCUUUAAAUCCUGUAGGUUGCAAGGUGGGGCCUCUGUGGAUCGGACUUGUUCGUCCAGCUCAUCCCACAGAUGCUCCAU